rnacentral:tRNA from 1 species
CGGGAUGUAGCGCAGCUUGGUAGCGCAUUGCGUUCGGGACGCAAGGGUCGUAGGUUCGAAUCCUAUCAUCCCGA